GCACAGAGUGGUGGCGAGUCCUUUAUUUUAAUGCCAAACUUCAACUUCCUAAGUUUUCUCUUCCAUCCCUGUCUGUGAAGAAUCCGGGGAGUGUGUGAGUGCAAAUACUAGUUUUACCUGCCUGCGGCUGCCACUGCAACGCUUCCCUCUGGAUGAAAACGUCUAGUUGCAGGAAAACAGGCUGAGGGCUCCCACUGAUUCUACAUUAUGGGCUGGAAUCUGAGUAGCUGAGGUGCUUAUGUGACUACAUGCCUACAUCACUGACCCCCAAUAAACACCUUGGACACAAGACUCAGGCUGCUUCAUCGAUACUUUCUUAUUUUAUGUUAUGAUGCAUCAAAGUGAACUCUGAUCCCUUCAAACAGAAUCAUUGCUUUCAGAUAAAGAAACCUCAGAUCAAAUAUAAGCAUCAAAAUCUACAAAGAUUUUAGAGGGUGAAGAAACACGGAAAGAUCUCUGGUGAUGGAGCCAGCAUUGAUGAACCAAGAAAAGUCUUAAACGUGAAGAAGCCUGUGAUAAACAAGGUGACUCACCUCAUCAAAUGGAAUAGGGAUCUUCUGGCAAAGCUGCCUGGGUAAACCGCAACUCACAAGGGAUAGAAUUUCACUAAAUUCUUAAGAGGUUACAGACUCUAUUUCUAUCCUUAAAUACACUCAUUAUUUUAUCCCUGGAUAUACCCAAUUAUAGUUUAAACUUAAAUUGAAUAAAAGAUGAUGGGAAUAAUUCUAUUUUUAUUUCAGGACUGUGCCCAGGGGAAUAACAAGGAAGAAAAAUGUCAGAAGAAUUAGUUUCUCUCUAAUUGAACAAAUGUAUUUAUAUUUCCUUGUUGAUAGGCAUAGAUUCUCAAUGAGAAACUGAAACUUAUGAAGUUACAUUUAAGACUCCAGUUGUGACAAUGAUGACCAAUGCUCUUUGGUAUUACGUUUUCCAAUUCAACACAGGAAAUGAGUUGGAAUUUGUUUUGCAGUUUUUUUUUCAGCCUGUUUUGUGGAGUAUUUUUUCCUGUGAUCUGUAGAAACACAAUGAUAACAUUACGAACUUUGCCAGUCAUUGGCCCAUCAAAAAUGUUUGUAUGCUUGAAUGGGCAAGAAAUUACAUUUGAUGGAGUCCCAUGUGCCUCAUUAACUAAAUUUUUCUUUUCGGUUAUUAUUAAAGGACAGUAGGUGGCCAGGCACGAUGGCUCAUUCCUGUAAUCCCAGCAGUUCAGGAGGCCAAGGUGGGCAGAUCAUGAGGUCAGGAGACCAAGACCAUCCUGGCCAACACGGUGAAAUCCCGUCUCUACUAAAAAUACAAAAAUUAGCCAGGUGUGGUGGUGUGUGCCUGUAAUCCCAGCUACUAGGAGGCUGAGGCAGGAGAAUCUCUCUAACCAGGGAUUCGGAGGUUGCAGUGAGCCGAGAUUGCGCCACUACCCUCCAGCCAGGCAAUAGAGCGAGAGUCUGUCUCCAAAAAAAAAAGACUGUAGGUAUGAGAUCAGACGUGACUUUUAACUUUUAACUUUUAACUUUCAUGUUCUUCAUCUUCCAUUCUUGCCACAAAAAGACUGCCGUUUCCUUCUUCACAUUCAAUGUGUCUCAUGGGUCAGAGAAUCUGUGUGGUUACACUCUUAACUAGUACAGCCACUGUUCUUCGACUACUUAAACGCUCUUAUCCUUCCACUCAGUCAUCCAUUUGACCCCAUUUCCUUUAUAUUCUAUGCAGAAUUACAUGUGCAAUUAGGGUUUGUUUUCAUUAUUACUGUUAUUAUUAUAAUCACUAUUUGCCAAUUCUGUUGAUUACCCUUUCCAUUUGUUUUUCAACAAAACUCUCUCUGUACACCAACAACACUGCCUCAAUCUUUUAAUCUACCAGAAAAAAAAUUCAACUCCAUAAGCAAUUGGAUCAAUAAUAGUAGGAAUUCACAAUUUUCAGUCUCAGUGGUUUCCUUCAACAUUAAACUCCUUUUUAUUUUGAUUGUCCAUUACUUCAUAACUUUGAAAUCCUCUUUCAAUUUCUCUAAUGUAAUUUGACCAAGAUUGUGGCUCGCAAGACUGAACUUUUUUGAAAUAUGGACAUGGGGAGUCCCCACAUUUUGCUAGACUACAUCUUGGAGGGUGCUUGGAAAGCAGAAAUGGUGGGAAAUCGUUUUAUUUUCUGUUUGCAAAAGCCACUUUGCAACUUGUGGUUAUCCUAUUCUAUCACCAAGCUCCUGCCUGUAUUUACAGUGGGCUUUGAAGAACCAGCUGCUGAAAGUGAUAAAUCAGCAGCUGAAAAUGAUGAAUGCGAGACUGAUUGGAACUCAAAGUGAAAUAUAGGUGCUUGUCAACAAUGUUAGAUUGGUAACUUGAGGUGGCAAAGAGUGGUGACUGCUGGCAAAAUGUAUGAAUAUAUGUAUUAUAGUAGCAAUUAUACUUGCUUAUUUCAAUGUUUUUGAAGUCUUCUUAUUUAUAGAACAUUCUGGCUUUUUAUUUUGAGGAGCACUGCUAACAAUAAAUCAGAACCAACAUUUAUUGAGUGUCGAUUAUUAUAUCCCAAGUCCAGUACUAGACUGUGGAGCAUUAGCUAUGAAAUGCCUAGUUGUGAUUUCCAAGCACCACUUAUGGAAAAUUAUGAUCUGCUUUUUAUAUUAGUGCAGUAUCGCUAGAUGUAACAGGUAUUCUGGAUUUUAAAACCUAUUUAUAAUGUUUGUUUCUAAUGUGGUUUAUGCUUACUCAAAUGGAAUAUUUUUCAGCUUGUUCCUUUCCAAGUGGU
ensembl:lncRNA PELO-AS1 PELO antisense RNA 1